UUCAGACGAUGCGUCAUGCAUAUCAAUAAGCGGAGGAAAAGAAACUAACAAGGAUUCCCUCAGUAACGGCGAGUGAAGCGGGAAGAGCUCAAAUUUGAAAUCUUGAAAGGUCACCUUUCACGAAUUGUAGUUUAAAGAAGUGUUUUCUGUUACGAUCGUAAUAUAAGUUCUUUGGAACAGGACAUCACAGAGGGUGAGAAUCCCGUCUAUGAUUGCGAUUUGUAGCUUUGUGAUACACUUUCAAAGAGUCGGGUUGUUUGGGAAUGCAGCCCAAAACGGGAGGUAAAUUUCUUCUAAGGCUAAAUAUUGGCGAGAGACCGAUAGCGAACAAGUACCGUGAGGGAAAGAUGAAAAGAACUUUGAAAAGAGAGUUAAAUAGUACGUGAAAUUGUCAAAAGGGAAGCGUUUAACACCAGUGUUGUUUUCUGAAAAUCAACCUCUGUUAGCUUUAUGCAUGUUUGUUUAGACCUAAUCAGCUAUCUUGCAUGUUCUAUUGUUUGCAGUGGUGCACUUUUCAGUUUACAGGUCAACAUCAGUUUUUUUUACCGUAAAAAAGUUAAAGAAAGGUAGCUCAUGGCUCCGGUCGUGAGUGUUAUAGUCUUUUUCCUAUGCGGUAGGAGAGACUGAGGUCUGCAGUGUAGGCUAUUUGGCUAGAUACUCAGGUGCUAUGUGAUACCAUUUCAUAAACAACUUGUUGAUUACGUUUUGUCUAUUGCAUACUCGCUUGUACUAUCAUACCUACGCUUAGGAUGUUGAAGACUCUACAGAGAUA
rnacentral:rRNA from 1 species